rnacentral:rRNA from 1 species
AACGUAGGAGACAAACGUUAUCCGGAGUUACUGGGCGUAAAGCGCGCGUAGGCGGCUUUGUAAGUUAGAGGUGAAAGCCCGGAGCUCAACUCCGGAAUUGCCUUUAAGACUGCAUCGCUAGAAUCAUGGAGAGGUGAGUGGAAUUCCGAGUGUAGAGGUGAAAUUCGUAGAUAUUCGGAAGAACACCAGUGGCGAAGGCGACUCACUGGACAUGUAUUGACGCUGAGGUGCGAAAGCGUGGGGAGCAAACAGG